rnacentral:rRNA from 1 species
AUUGAACGCUGGCGGCAGGCCUAACACAUGCAAGUCGAGCGAGCGGCGGACGGGUGAGUAAUGUCUGGGGAUCUGCCCGAUGGAGGGGGAUAACUACUGGAAACGGUGGCUAAUACCGCAUACUAUCGGAUGAACCCAGAUGGGAUUAGCUAGUCGGGGGGGUAAAGGCUCACCUAGGCGACGAUCCCUAGCUGGUCUGAGAGGAGGACCAGCCAAACGGGAACUGAGAACCGGCCCAGACUCCUACGGGAGGCAGCAGUGGGGAAUAUUGCACAAUGGGCGAAAGCCUGAUGCAGCCAUGCCGCGUGUAUGAAGAAGGCCUUCGGGUUGUAAAGUACUUUCAGCGGGGAGGCGUUACCCGCAGAAGAAGCACCGGCUAACUCCGUGCCAGCAGCCGCGGUAAUAC